GUUUGUGGGUAUAAAGGAAUGAGAACGAGAAGAGGGUUUUGUUAUCCAAAUCCAAAAGUAAACAUGUGUAGAGAAAACAAAAUUGUUAAGAGGAGAAGAGAUGAUUUUCCCGGUGUCGGAGACCAUCGGAAAAGAUCCAGACUUUCGCCGGGGGUUACUGGUCAUCAUCCUGAUCUUUUUGAUUCUUUGCCGGAUGAUCUCGUUGUAUCUAUUCUCUGCAAACUCACUUCUUCUGCUGCAUCGCCGGCUGAUUUCGUUAACGUUUUGAUUACAUGCAAAAGACUAAAUGGGUUAGGUUGUCAUUCGCUUGUAUUAUCAAAAGCUUCCCAGAAAAUGUUAACAGUGAAAGCACAAAACUGGUCGGAUUCUGCUCAACGUUUUCUGAAACAAUGCGCCGACGCCGGAAAUGUUGAAGCUUGUUAUACCCUUGGAAUGAUUCGAUUCUACUGUUUACAAAAUCGAGGGAGCGGCGCGUCCUUGAUGGCGAAGGCGGCGAUUAGCUCUCACGCGCCGUCGCUUUAUUCUCUGGCUGUUAUACAGUUCAACGGCAGCGGUGGCUCGAAGAACGACAAGGACCUCCGCGCCGGAGUUGCCCUUUGUGCACGCGCCGCCUUCUUAGGCCACAUCGAUGCUUUGAGAGAGCUUGGUCACUGUCUACAAGAUGGGUACGGCGUGAAGCAAAACAUCGCCGAAGGUCGGCGAUUCCUCGUCCAAGCUAACGCGCGUGAGCUCGCCGCUGUUUUGUCGAUGACGCCUUCGGCUCUGACCGCCGGCGGGUGGCUGACGUGGAACCCAUUGCCUCAUCACCGACACGGAGCAGGUAGCGGGUGUCCGUUACUGAGUGAUUUUGGGUGUAAUGUUCCUGCCCCGGAAGCCCACCCGGCUAAUCAGUUUUUAACGGAAUGGUUUGCUUCUAAAGGGGGAGUUCCGGGUUCGGGGCUCCGGCUUUGUUCACAUGCUGGCUGUGGAAGACCCGAAAGUAGGAGGCAUGAAUUCCGUCGGUGCUCCGUCUGUGGUACAGUUAACUAUUGCUCACGCGCUUGUCAGGCGCUUGAUUGGAAGAUGCGUCAUAAAGCAGAGUGUACACCUGUAGAGAGAUGGAUUGACGAAGACGGUGAAAAUGACGGUAACGGUAACGGAGAAAUGGGCGAGGAGGGUCAAAACAUGGGGGAGAGUUAAACGGCGAGAGUAACAGUGUGCUUGACUGUGAAGGUGACGGUAACGGCACGUGAGUCUCAAAAAUUUACUGGCAAGUAAAAAAGGUAAAAGAAGGGCAAGUUAGUAGUGGCCGUUUUUGGGAAUAUAAUUAUGGUCUCUAUUUUUGUAUAAAACAAGUAAAAAAGAAAUUGGGAUGUAUGAAAGUGGAAAAAAAGCAAAUUAUUCUGCAGUAUUUUUUGUUUUUAAAAUUUUACUUUUUGAAUAUUAAUAGGAGUAUUAAUUUAGAGUAUGGUUGGAAAAAAGAAACGAA
rnacentral:misc_RNA from 1 species